rnacentral:rRNA from 1 species
AGCAGCCGCGGUAAUUCCAGCUCCAAUAGCGUAUAUUAAAGUUGUUGCAGUUAAAAAGCUCGUAGUUGAAUUUCGGGAUUAACACGUCGGUCGUGCCACUGGUAUGAACUGGCGUCGUUGAUUUCUCCUUUCUGAGGAACCAUGAUGUCAUUAAUUUGAUGUCGUGGGAAAUCAGGACUGUUACUUUGAAAAAAUUAGAGUGUUUAAAGCAGGCUCGCGCUUGAAUACAUUAGCA